AAGAAGGAAAUGGCAUUGCUCCCCUGUAUUUCUGUGUUCUUGAGUUCUUCAUGAGUGACAUCAGCAGGGAGCAUUUCUGGCUGAAAAUGCCUGGGUACAAACCCCUCCACCAGAGUCUCAGCCUUUGCACGGCCAGCAGCUUCCCACUCCAUCUUGAUAUUCUGCUGGUGUAGCAGUCUACUCAUAAGCCAGAAGAAACCACUGUGAAGUGUCAACUUACUUCUCAAUAGCACAGGGACAAAAUACUUCCCAGCCAAAUCCAGUCUAUCAAAUGAUGUGCUGCAGAACUACAGGGUCUGAUCGGAGGUGAUCUUCCAUCCUGCAGCACCAGGGGACGCUAUGGAAUGUAAACACAUGGGGUUUUUUUAUUAAAAGUUUCAGUAAAAAAAUAGAAUAAGAAUGUGAAGCCUGGGCACAGAUGGACAGAAAUAUUAAGAAGCGUCCAUUGGUCCUGGAUAUAUUUUGAGCACUUUUCCAAUUUAUUGUUUUGUGAAAGUAGGAUGCAAGUGUCUAAACACAGGUGUGGCUGUAGUUUACCACAUGCAAUGAUGCCUUCUGGUCAGCCAUGUACCAGAAAAUAGAGGAAAAAUAACAGUGCUUGCCGAGCAGUGGUUUCCAAAUGAUUGCUUGGGCAUUUAAAUAAUUAGGUCUAGGAAUUACAGCAGGGAAUGACAUGCCAAGGUGCCUAGGAAGAGCUGGUCAAAACAUUUGUUAUGAAAACAGGAAAAAUCUAUUGCAGUAUAUUAAUUUUUUUCCCUCUGGGAUACAUUUAACACUUCUUUGAAGUGUUAGCAAUAGAAUAAAGAAUUUCCAUGGAAUGUUUCACCAGAUGAUUAGCUGGGCAAUAAACAUGUAUUUGUUUUGGUGACUUCCUCAGCUUCUGGUCCCUUGUUCCAUGCCUGUUACUUAAUGGUGACUCAGUAAAAGCCUCUGGGAGCCUUCUCCAGGCGUCAUGCUGCAGCACCUCCACGUGAGCCCCUGCCCACAGCAGCAGUCCUUUCUCGGGGGUCCUCUUGUCUUCAGGGCAUCUUUAUUGUGCUGACCAGUGCCACAAUCCCCCACCACCCAUGAAGAGGGAGGCUUCCCACAGCAGUCUUCUGUUUAAUGACCUCACUCAAACCAGUAGAAAGGAGAAACUGGUGCCGAUAGUGAGAUCUCACUGGCUGCACUUCCCAGAAAAGGUACCAUUUUGACAGAGGGAAACUUCUUCACGGAAAUGCUCAGAGAAGCGAAUAAAGGCAUAAAUUUAGCUAAACUGACACUAAAACUUAUUUUGAGUCUCCUAAAUGAAGGUAAAUUGAACCAAGGUCCCCUUGAUUCUGAAACCCUUUAGAGAUUUAAUGAUUCAGGUCAUUGUUUUGCCUGUUUAAUAAUGCAUUAAUUCAUUGUGAAUUUAAGCUCCACAGACUUCAGGUAUUUUUUUGGGGGUGUGACAUUUUGUUUUAGUUCUUUGUAUGUAGGGAAUCAUCACACGGAUGUAGGGAAGUAGAGAGCAGAGGGAAAUCAACCUGCUAGAGGAUUUGCAGCAGACCUGCAGUCAAAAGACUUUUCAGAUUCAUAUUGACUCAAUGUGUUUUUGUUGCUGUGAACUAUGGAGAAUACUGGCGGGGUCUGCCAGCUGGAGGGAUUUCAUAUAUGCUGUGGAUGGGUGAGGUGGGUCAGGUCCAUCCCACCCACAGACCAUGGCACUGGGGCGGUGAGACCCACACUGAUGAUGACUGGGGUGCCUGGCACAGCACAGGGAGGGUCAGUGCCAUGUCCUGCCACACUGCACCUGCACAGCUUGCUAGGCUGUAGCACGGCUGAACCUGCCACCAGGAAGGGAGAUGCUGCUGCCAAGUUACCCCUGCUUAGCAACAGGGCUAAGGCAAAGGCUUACACUAUUAAACAGCUCACUUCGUUAUGCUCAAACCACUGUUCUCUGUCCACUUUCUGGUUGGUUUUUUGUGGUUUGGGUUUUUUUGUUGUUUUUUUUUAAUCUUGCGGAGCUAUUUGCUUAUCAUAGUGGACCAUUGUGCUUAAGGGAGCACAGAUAUUGUCUGCACAGUUUGCUCCUCUAGGCUUUUGCCUUGUUCUUGUCUGCCUGGUACCGCACACUGUUACUGGCUCAGAUCAAAUACAGCAGAAAUGUCUUUGGGAUGCAAGUGCACUUUUUCUUUUCUCCCACAGAUGCCUACUGGCAGCAAUAGUAUGAAAGAUUUCUCCCUACAUAAAACCAAAGUAGAGGUGAGGAGAUUUGUUCUGCCAGUGUAGUGAUAAACCAUGAGAAACCAAGCUCCAUCUGCCAGACCCGGCUAGGCAGAUCUCCGCCAGCUUUCACAUCCAAAGCUGAGACCAACAGCAUUGUUGCACUAUGUGGGCAGGAAUGAACCAGGGAGACAUUUCCCAGCAUGGGGAGAACAAUUCUCUUCCUUUCUCAGGCAGUUUUAAGUAUUAGCAACCAUGGUAACUGGAAUAGAAACGUAACCAGUUUGCCAUGCAUUCAACUUGACACAAUAAUCAUUGCAGAGCAGUCACGUUAAAAAUAAACAUGACUUGCACCAGA